rnacentral:lncRNA from 13 species
GCCACAGCAGAACACACAGUGUGUACGUACAACAGCUGGUGUGGUUGAGCACAACAUGGAACCAUGUGAUUCAUAAAACAACCACUGAAAUCAUGUCCUUUAAAGUUGAGAGAUUGGCUCUGGCCCAUAUUGACGUCGUCUGACAUACCCUUUAGAUAAGAGGGCCCUUUUGAACAUCACAACCUCUGUGAAUGAUUAGAAUAGAAAUACAUUUUAGUUAAACCGUUAGUCACAUUUCUAUUUUUAAAGGGCUUCCCUACAUGACUGCUGUUUCCCCUCUAAUGCACAGCAUGUCUCUGUCUCUGUCUGACGAUGUCUCUGUCUCUCUGUCUGACGAUGUCUCUGUCUCUCUGUCUCUGACGAUGUCCUGUCUUCAGUGAGGGAAAACGCCCUGUACUCAGAGAACUGGGAACACACGUUGUAACCUUUUGAGGAGAUUACAAAACAGGAAAGGACAACGUUUAUCAAAUAAAAUAAGAGGACAUUUUGUGACCUAGACUCCCAACAUUUUGAUGAAAGGAUUAAGACAUUAUUCUCAUGGAAGCCAUUUUGGGGGGGAAAUGAGACCAAUCAUUGGUGCCUGUUAUAUCUGCCAGUAAGAGUACUCACUGACCAACGCCUUCCACUGGUUUCUGCCUGCCAUGUCUGACCGUGACCACCAGGGAGCGGUGUUGCUACACACUACAUUACACCGACUGCUAUCCCCGAUGCUUUUUUUUAAAACCUGAUGGUACAGAAACAUUUCCAAGCUUGUAAUGAUUUAUUUGACUUAUUUUUGUUGUUUGUUUGGUCACCGGCUUAACAUGCUUCAUGUUUGUAAAAAUGUAAACAACUAAUUAAAUUAUUUUUGUCUUAUUUAUAUAUUUUUUUUAAAUGUGUUUUUUAUUUUCUGUUUGUUGCAGUGCUUGGGGGAACGAGCAUUGGCCUCAUAGAUAAAAGCUAACUGAAAUCAAUUGGUUUAAUUCGCUUCCUGAUUGAGUCAGAUUACUGGUUGUAGCCUUGUUCAAUGUUCAAUGGGACCACUUCUCCAAAGCUCGCACGAAUAAACAUUUAGAUAAAGGUAAUGGUUAGCUUCGAUCAGUCAGAUAAUUAACUUAAGUCUGAAUUAACUGUCAUGUGAUCUGCUCUUUCCAGUUUAGGCACUACAUUUCCCAUCAGCCCUAUCGUGUACAAUGUUGCUCUGGGUACUCUUGGGAAGCUGUGUUUUUUGUUGUUGUUGUUGUUGUGUGCAUUGUUGAGGCCUGCGCUUUCUCCAGCGUAAGGCUGUGUCAUAGCUCACUGAGUGCUCCGUGAAAACUCUGUGAUAUCCCAGCUAAUAGAGCUCGUCAGCUUGUGGUCUGGUUCGUUUAGCCUUUUUCAAUGGGCAAAAUGAAUGGGGAAGGAAAAAGGGGGUUAUAACACGAAAGGUUGACGCAGGCUUAUGAGAGAAAUGUCAUGUUAACUAACUGAUAUUAUGAAGCCGUUUAUCUGCCGUUUUUGUUUUUACUCCGUAAAUCUAAAUUCACAAAGCGACGUUAGCCGAUGAAGGUUCUCUCGUAGAACAAGGCCUGCGUGUUUAUUUUAUUUUUUUACCUCAGACCUUAUUUUCGGCAGUUAUCCAAAAACGCCAUUUUGUUUUCCCACAUAGACUUUGAUUUAGUGCCGACAAAAAGACACCAUCAAAAAUACCGAGGUGUAAUACAAUUUACACACACACACACACACACACACACUGUAAAUAGGCAACAUUUCACCUUGUAUUUGAGGUGUGUCAUCCUAAUACUGUAAUCAGGACUUGUUCAUAGGACGGUGGCGCGUGCAUAUUGAUGGAGCUUAGAGUCACCUUGCAUGAAGUAGGCAAGAAGAGCGGCCAUUUUGGUGGUUCCCAACUCCUCAUCCUUCUACUACCGUGUCCCUAAGGGAUAUGUUGGAAAUGUCUAUUUCCUCUCUUUUGUCUGUUACAUCAUUUUUUGGGGGGGAGGGCGCAUAACCACAGUCAGUCGUUGUUGGAAAUUGCAUUUGCGAUUUAAUGUUUCAACCAAAAUGAGUUUUAUAAAAAUAAAAAUUAAAAAUUAAAAAGGUGGAACCAUCAUAUUCACUGGUUUAGAAAUGAAUUCUAUUCUUUAAAAUGUUAACUGAA